rnacentral:rRNA from 1 species
GACGAACGCUGGCGGCGUGCUUAACACAUGCAAGUCGAACGGAAAGGCCCUGCUUUUGUGGGGUGCUCGAGUGGCGAACGGGUGAGUAACACGUGAGUAACCUGCCCUUGACUUUGGGAUAACUUCAGGAAACUGGGGCUAAUACCGGAUAGGAGCUCCUGCUGCAUGGUGGGGGUUGGAAAGUUUCGGCGGUUGGGGAUGGACUCGCGGCUUAUCAGCUUGUUGGUGGGGUAGUGGCUUACCAAGGCUUUGACGGGUAGCCGGCCUGAGAGGGUGACCGGCCACAUUGGGACUGAGAGACGGCCCAGACGCCUACGGGAGGCAGCAGUGGGGAAUAUUGCACAAUGGGCGGAAGCCUGAUGCAGCAACGCCGCGUGCGGGAUGACGGCCUUCGGGGUGUAAACCGCUUUCGCCUGUGACGAAGCGUGAGUGACGGUAAUGGGUAAAGAAGCACCGGCUAACUACGUG